rnacentral:rRNA from 1 species
CAAUAAGCGGAGGAAAAGAAACCAACAGGGAUUGCCCUAGUAACGGCGAGCGAAGCGGCAACAGCUCAAAUUUGAAAUCUGGCUCCUUUGGAGUCCGAGUUGUAAUUUGUAGAGGAUGCUUUUGGUGAGGUGCCUUCCGAGUUCCCUGGAACGGGACGCCAGAGAGGGUGAGAGCCCCGUACGGUUGGAUGCCAAACCUUUGUAUAGCUCCUUCGACGAGUCGAGUAGUUUGGGAAUGCUGCUCUAAAUGGGAGGUAUAUCUCUUCUAAAGCUAAAUACCGGCUAGAGACCGAUAGCGCACAAGUAGAGUGAUCGAAAGAUGAAAAGCACUUUGAAAAGAGAGUUAAACAGCACGUGAAAUUGUUGAAAGGGAAGCGCCUAUGAUCAGACUUGUCUCUAGUAGUUUUGCUAUUGUUCUCAGUAGUUUACUCUAUUAGUACAGGCCAGCAUCAGUUUGUCAUUAGGGAGAAAGACUUGAGGAAUGUGACUCUUUCGGGAGUGUUAUAGCCUCUUGUAUAAUACCUUUUGAUGGACUGAGGUCCGCGCUUUUGCAAGGAUGCUGGCGUAAUGG